rnacentral:rRNA from 1 species
AACGAACGCUGGCGGCAGGCCUAACACAUGCAAGUCGAACGAAGCCUUCGGGCUUAGUGGCGGACGGGUGAGUAACGCGUGGGAACGUGCCCUUUGGAUCGGAAUAGCCCCGGGAAACUGGGAGUAAUACCGGAUGAGCCCUUCGGGGGAAAGAUUUAUCGCCAAAGGAUCGGCCCGCGUUGGAUUAGGUAGUUGGUGGGGUAAUGGCCUACCAAGCCGACGAUCCAUAGCUGGUUUGAGAGGAUGAUCAGCCACACUGGGACUGAGACACGGCCCAGACUCCUACGGGAGGCAGCAGUGGGGAAUCUUAGACAAUGGGGGAAACCCUGAUCUAGCCAUGCCGCGUGAUCGAUGAAGGCCUUAGGGUUGUAAAGAUCUUUCAGUGGGGAAGAUAAUGACGGUACCCACAGAAGAAGCCCCGGCUAACUCCGUGCCAGCAGCCGCGGUAA